GAGAAAUUUAGGGCACAUCAUUCCCCCUCAAUCGAUCAAUCGUAUUCUCUUUCUCCUUACGCCGACGCAACCAUCGCUGUGAAACUGGUAGGAUCAAGCAUCUACCGCGCCGGUGUCCAGGUAAGGUUGAUACGGAGCAUCCACCUUGGGGAGUAGCCUCGGGUACGGAGAUGAGAUGGGUUUGGUUUACUUUUAAUAACAACCAGUUUUCAACAUGGGAUCUCUUCAAAGUUCACAUGAUGGUCGGAUGAGUUGUGUGGGAUUAACUUCUGACUUGAUUGGGUUGUGGACAAGAAGUUGGGACACCAAUCUUAAGAUUUUGGCGUUUGGAGGGUACCGCAGAGUUAUCUGAAAGAGAAGAGAAGAGGGAGGAGGUGAGGUGAGGCAUAUAAAGGGUUGUAUAUUCCAGUCAAGUGAUGAAGGUUCUAACUAAUGAAAUUUCUCGUUUUCAAUCGCUAAGAAACAAAACGGUUGGAAUCUCUAAGGGCAUGUUGGCCCGAUCUUGAGUGGAAGGUAUAAACGUGAUCUUGCAUAGGUAGUAUAUGUCAAUGAAGUUCGGAAGAAAGUAACUAAGAAAUUGAUUCCAAUGAUUGAUUUAAAAGCAAUGGAUGAAAAAAUUUGCAGCUUCUUCAUUGACAUGGUUCUUGGAUACUUUUGCCGGGGAUUCAAUUAUACUUUACUCUCCUUCUGUUGGUAAUUGCAGCUCAUGCGCCACCCCUGAAGCAUAUCAACCGAUUCCUUAAUAUUUUGCCCCCAUUUGCCUUAUGGAUUAGAUGCCAUAGAUGUGUUUGGAUGGUAGGUUGUUACGGCUAUGUGUAAUACCUAUGCAAUAGAUGCAUAGACAUUUGGAGUUAUCUUUUGUGUGGUGAGAAUUGUUGCUAUGGAUUGAUGGAUUUCCCCACUUGCUUAUUACUAGGUUGGAUGUUUAAAAUGAUUGCAUUUUGUGGAACAUAAUAUCGAAGUGAAGAUGUUGCUAGGCUUGUUUGAUGGGUUACUUUAUUUUGUUGUUUGGCGGUGGACAUCGUCUAGUAAAUAUUGUUAUGUUAAUAUCCAAUGUCGGGAUUCCCUUAUAGUGUUUAUUGUUUGCAAUUAUGGCCAAUCGUAAUAUUUAU